rnacentral:misc_RNA from 1 species
GAUGAAGAACGUAGCGAAAUGCGAUAAGUAAUGUGAAUUGCAGAAUUCAGUGAAUCAUCGAAUCUUUGAACGCACAUUGCGCCCGCCAGUAUUCUGGCGGGCAUGCCUGUUCGAGCGUCAUUUCAACCAUCAAGCCCCCGGCUUGUGUUGGGGACCUGCGGCUGCCGCAGGCCCUGAAAAGCAGUGGCGGGCUCGCUGUCACACCGAGCGUAGUAGCAUACAUCUCGCUCUGGGCGUGCUGCGGGUUCCGGCCGUUAAACCACCUUCAUAACCCAAGGUUGACCUCGGAUCAGGUAGGAAGACCCGUUGAACUUAAGCAUAUCAAUAAGCGGAGGA